GUAAAGUAAUGAUAUUGGAACGGCUCAAUCAAAUCAAAUCUCCUGAGUAGACAGACAAGGUCUUUUAAUUUGAUUGAGUCGUGCCAAUAUCAUGAACUACUAC
rfam:Helianthus annuus linkage group 5, whole genome shotgun sequence.